GCGGUGUGCGAGAGCGAGAGGGCAGCGAACACACAACCGACUAGCGGGGCCCACCUGGCGGCCCGUAGAUGGCCUGAGAAUUCCCCACCUUUGAGAUCGGCUUCUUAGAAAACAACCGUGAGAUCGGGUUCGGGCAGGCCGCCGAGUCGUCGUCGUCGUCGUCGUGCCCGAUCCCCACCCCACCACCCGUCCCGCGCCGGCGGCCCGCCCCCCGGAGAUCGGAGCGCCCCACGGGAUCCCGACCUCGCCAUGAAUCCGGAGUAUGACUAUCUCUUUAAGCUUCUGCUUAUCGGAGACUCAGGUGUUGGCAAGUCAUGCCUUCUCUUAAGAUUUGCCGAUGACUCGUACCUGGAGAGUUAUAUCAGUACUAUUGGUGUUGAUUUCAAAAUACGUACCGUGGAGCAAGAUGGAAAGACUAUGAAGCUGCAAAUCUGGGACACUGCUGGGCAAGAACGCUUCAGAACUAUUACUAGCAGCUACUAUCGAGGGGCUCACGGGAUCAUUAUUGUCUAUGACGUGACAGACCAGGACAGCUUCAACAAUGUGAAGCAGUGGUUGAACGAGAUUGAUCGCUAUGCUAGUGAGAAUGUUAACAAGCUUCUUGUAGGGAACAAAUCUGAUCUCACUGACAAAAGAGUUGUAUCAUAUGAGACAGCGAAGGCAUUUGCUGAUGAGAUUGGCAUCCCAUUCAUGGAGACCAGUGCAAAGAAUGCCUUGAACGUUGAGCAGGCUUUCAUGGCUAUGUCUGCUUCAAUCAAGGACAGGAUGGCGAGCCAGCCAGCCGCAAACAGCGCUCGCCCAGCCACGGUGCAGAUACGCGGGCAACCUGUCGAACAGAAGACGAGCUGCUGCUCUUCUUGAAAUGCAGGCAGCCGCCAUCCGUGUUACCCAAAUGGAGACGCAAACUUGGCCGCGCCAUCCUUGAGUCCAUGCUUCUACAUAGGCCUACUACAUCUUACACCUUCAUUCCAUUCUUUCUAGUGUACUUAUUAGCUCUUGAAUCGUUGGACUUGUAACACCGGAUGGAGUUUGGAGACAGUAUCUUCUUCUAGUUGUGUAUCUUGAAUGGUUAUAUGUUACGAUUUGCAGCUGUUGCUUUUCUUCCCUAAAUUUAAGGCGAUUUAUACUUUUACUUGACCAAAAUGUUCGGUUCUUCAAAAUAUUAUCUGACAGUA
rnacentral:rRNA from 1 species